rnacentral:ncRNA from 2 species
GAUUCCGAGGAGCGCUGCAAGGUGCCGCAAGGCCCCCAGGCUCGGAACCCGCCAGGCCGCCACGGCCGCGGGCAUUUUUCAACGGCGCUCACCUGAA